UGGGGGAUAUUGCACAAUGGGCGAAAGCCUGAUGCAGCGACGCCGCGUGGGGGAUGAAGGCCUUCGGGUUGUAAACUUCUUUUGCUCUGAACAAGGCAUGCCUUUGGGGUGUGUUGAGUGUAGGGGUUGAUUAGCGCCGGCUAACUACGUGCCAGCAGCCGCGGUAACACGUAGGGCGCGAGCGUUGUCCGGAAUUAUUGGGCGUAAAGGGCUUGUAGGUGGCUGGUUGCGUCUGUCGUGAAAGCUCAUGGCUUAACUGUGGGUUUGCGGUGGGUACGGGCUGGCUUGAGUGCAGUAGGGGAGGCUGGAAUUCCUGGUGUAGCGGUGGAAUGCGCAGAUAUCAGGAGGAAUACCGGUGGCGAAGGCGGGUCUCUGGGCUGUUACUGACGCUGAGGAGCGAAAGCGUGGGGAGCGAACAGG
rnacentral:rRNA from 1 species